AAUUUGCUUGUCUUUGAAAAAGAAGUGGCGCAUUGAUAGCCAUGAGUAUAGCAUAAUCUUUGGAAUGGCCUUGUUUCCAUGACAUGCGACAGUGACCAUAAUUGCAGCUGCUGCUGUGAUGUGCAAGUGCUUGCUUGUCAUUAAUAUGAUAAUCAACUGAUUGAACUCCUCUUUGCACCUUAGGGGACCCAAGACCAAAUACAUUUGUACCAAUUAGUCUUUUUUAUGUAUCUCACGUACAGGGCAACAUUUCAUCACCAUACCAUUUCUUUGGUGAUUGACAGUGUUAGAUCUUUGAACUUGGAAUUUGUUCCUGAAUGCUUUGGUC
rnacentral:misc_RNA from 1 species